ensembl:lincRNA
AUGCUGUCAGCUUGCAAAGCUUCAGCCCGCUCCCCUGACAGCCUGGAAUGUCUGCCCUGCGCCUGCAGGGAGCACAGGGUCCCAGGCCAUUCAGCAGGCUGGGGAUGGUUCCGUCUGGCCCAGAAGAUGCGCUGGUCUGAGAGCCAUCAGCUGCUUCCCGGGGGAAGCGAGGAGGGAUCUCAGCUCGUCUCGGUUCUGAUCGAUCACCAAGAACGAGGCAGGCCUGCAUCUUCCUGCCUGAAGUGGGAGCAGACACUGUCCAGGCAGGAGAGCCCUGGAGUCCUGGUCCAGCCGAGCAGGGAGCUCGUUUCUGACAGUGGAGCCAUCCCAAGAGCCGCCUAUGCCGUAGCGACCUCUUAGAAGGAGAGAAAACUAAACACCAGGACCGGAAGAAGCAGAGUCCUUCCCACGAGGCCGGCACAGCCUCACUUCUGUCCUGGAAAUGAACCAGCUGUGAGUGGACAUUGCCCAGUGCAGUGACUAGGUGGAGGUCUGCUGUGCGGAGGAAGGCUGUCCAGACCUGGGGAUGGAGAGAGCAAAGCCGACUGAGCUCCGGGGGCCUCACCCGUGGCUGGGAUGGCCCUUGGCCCCCAGGAGAGCCGGGGGCAGUGUCCUGCGCUGCCCUGCUGGCCUCCUGACUCCUGACCCGGACCAUCCUCAAGAGAGAGAAAUAGUUUGUUUUUGUGUGUUUUUUAGAAAUUUUCACUGGAGUAUAGUUGAUUUACAAUGUCUAUUAGUUUCUGCUAUACAGCCAAGUGACUCGGUUAUACAUAUAAAAUGUUCACUUUUUCAGAUUUUUUUCCCUUUUAGAUGAUCUCAGAGUGUUGAGUUGAGCUCCAUCUGCUGCAGAGUGGGUCCUUAGUAGCCAUAGCUUCUAUGUACAGCAGUGUGUAUAUGCCAACCCUAACCCCCCAGUCUCUCUCUCCCUCCGCACACCCUGGG